GACGAACGCUGGCGGCGUGCCUAAUACAUGCAAGUCGAGCGAACAAAAGAAGAAACUUGUUUCUUCUUUUGUUAGCGGCGGAUGGGUGAGUAACACGUGGGCAACCUGCCCUGCAGUUGGGGAUAACUCCGGGAAACCGGGGCUAAUACCGAAUAAUCAGUUCUUCCGCAUGGAAGAACUCUGAAAGACGGUUUCGGCUGUCACUGCAGGAUGGGCCCGCGGCGCAUUAGCUAGUUGGUGGGAUAACGGCCUACCAAGGCGACGAUGCGUAGCCGACCUGAGAGGGUGAUCGGCCACACUGGGACUGAGACACGGCCCAGACUCCGACGGGAGGCAGCAGUAGGGAAUCUUCCACAAUGGACGAAAGUCUGAUGGAGCAACGCCGCGUGAGCGAAGAAGGUUUUCGGAUCGUAAAGCUCUGUUGCGAGGGAAGAACAAGUACGGGAGUAACUGCCCGUACCUUGACGGUACCUCGUCAGAAAGCCACGGCUAACUACGUGC
rnacentral:rRNA from 1 species